rnacentral:rRNA from 1 species
AACGAACGCUGGCGGCAGGCUUAACACAUGCAAGUCGAACGCCCCGCAAGGGGAGUGGCAGACGGGUGAGUAACGCGUGGGAAUCUACCCAGUUCUACGGAACAACACAGGGAAACUUGUGCUAAUACCGUAUACGCCCUAAGGGGGAAAGAUUUAUCGGAAUUGGAUGAGCCCGCGUUGGAUUAGCUAGUUGGUGGGGUAAUGGCCUACCAAGGCGACGAUCCAUAGCUGGUCUGAGAGGAUGAUCAGCCACACUGGGACUGAGACACGGCCCAGACUCCUACGGGAGGCAGCAGUGGGGAAUAUUGGACAAUGGGCGCAAGCCUGAUCCAGCCAUGCCGCGUGAGUGAUGAAGGCCUUAGGGUUGUAAAGCUCUUUCAGUAGGGACGAUAAUGACGGUACCUACAGAAGAAGCCCCGGCUAACUUCGUGCCAGCCGCCGCCGUAA